GUGGAUAUAGCUCAGUGGUAGAGUGCAUGCUCAGCAUGCAUGAGGUCCAGGGUUCAAGCCCCAGUACCUCCA
rnacentral:tRNA from 1 species